rnacentral:rRNA from 1 species
GUCCACGCCCUAAACGAUGGCAACUAGUUGUUGGAGGAUGAACUCCUUUAGUAACGCAGCUAACGCGUGAAGUUGCCCGCCUGGGGAGUACGGUCGCAAGAUUAAAACUCAAAGGAAUUGACGGGGGCCCGCACAAGCGGUGGAUGAUGUGGUUCAAUUCGAUGCAACGCGAAAACCUUACCUACCCUUGACAUGCCAGGAAGCCCGAUGAAAGUCGGGUGUGCCCGAAAGGGAACCUGGACACAGGUGCUGCAUGGCUGUCGU